rnacentral:rRNA from 1 species
GAGGGAAAGGCGAAAAGAACCCCGGCGAGGGGAGUGAAAAAGAACCUGAAACCGUGUACGUACAAGCAGUGGGAGCACAGGUUUACCUGUGUGACUGCGUACCUUUUGUAUAAUGGGUCAGCGACUUAUAUUCUGUAGCAAGGUUAACCGAAUAGGGGAGCCGGAGGGAAACCGAGUCUUAAUUGGGCGUUAAGUUGCAGGGUAUAGACCCGAAACCCGGUGAUCUAGCCAUGGGCAGGUUGAAGGUUGGGUAACACUAACUGGAGGACCGAACCGACUAAUGUUGAAAAAUUAGCGGAUGACCUGUGGCUGGGGGUGAAAGGCCAAUCAAACCGGGAGAUAGCUGGUUCUCCCCGAAAGCUAUUUAGGUAGCGCCUCGUGAAUUCAUCUCCGGGGGUAGAGCACUGUUUCGGCUAGGGGGCCAUCCCGGCUUACCAACCCGAUGCAAACUGCGAAUACCGGAGAAUGUUAUCACGGGAGACACACGGCGGGUGCUAACGUCCGUCGUGAAGAGGGAAACAACCCAGACCGCCAGCUAAGGUCCCAAAGUCAUGGUUAAGUGGGAAACGAUGUGGGAAGGCCCAGACAGCCAGGAUGUUGGCUUAGAAGCAGCCAUCAUUUAAAGAAAGCGUAAUAGCUCACUGGUCGAGUCGGCCUGCGCGGAAGAUGUAACGGGGCUAAACCAUGCACCGAAGCUGCGGCAGCGACGUUUAUGCGUUGUUGGGUAGGGGAGCGUUCUGUAAGCCUGCGAAGGUGGCCUGUGAGGGUUGCUGGAGGUAUCAGAAGUGCGAAUGCUGACAUAAGUAACGAUAAAGCGGGUGAAAAGCCCGCUCGCCGGAAGACCAAGGGUUCCUGUCCAACGUUAAUCGGGGCAGGGUGAGUCGACCCCUAAGGCGAGGCCGAAAGGCGUAGUCGAUGGGAAACGG